rnacentral:rRNA from 1 species
UAAUACAGAGGGUGCAAGCGUUAAUCGGAAUUACUGGGCGUAAAGGGUGCGUAGGUGGUUUGAUAAGUUGGGUGUGAAAGUCCUGGGCUUAACCUGGGGACUGCGCUCAAUACUGUUAAGCUAGAGUACUGUAGAGGAAGGUGGAAUUUCCAGUGUAGCGGUGAAAUGCGUAGAUAUUGGAAGGAACAUCAGUGGCGAAGGCGACUUUCUGGACAGAUACUGACACUGAGGCACGAAAGCGUGGGGAGCAAACAGGAUUAGAUACCCUGGUAGUCCACGCUGUAAACGAUGAUGACUGGCUGUUGGGUGCCUAGAGCACUUGGUAGCGAAGCAAACGCGUUAAGUCAUCCGCCUGGGGAGUACGGUCGCAAGAUUA